rnacentral:lncRNA from 1 species
CCACUUCAAGUUUAAACUCCUUUAGCAUUAGUCAAACAGUCAUGGCGGCUACAAAAUGCAACAUUACAGGUGACAUUCUUACCCGGACUCGAGCAUUAGCGACGGAAAAAGCCUCCGAGAAGCAGCUAGCUUCAGAAAAAGCUAGCGCCAUUAGCCAGGAGCAAGAGGACCCGUCCCCCCCGAGGCCCAACGAAUGCCAACCUCGCACUCUGUCGAAGACAUCCUUUCUGAGCUGAGAUCCCAACGUACAGAACUCAACAUUAAAUUAGAUGCCAUUAACUCUCAGCUCAGUGCGAUAAGGGGCAAGGUGACAAUCCUGGAAAAUGCUUUGCCUGACAUCAACAACAAGAUAACCAUAAACGCGGGGCGCCUGGACGAGGCAGAGGGGCGAAUCCUAUCCAUGGAAAACUUAUUGACAGACGCCAUGGAAACAAUAGCAUGUGCUAAAAAGAAAAUAGAGCAAUUGGAAAACAGGGGGUGAAGGAAUGAUUGUGUUCUACUAAAUCUGGGUGAAAAAGAAGAGGGAAACAUGCCACUGAUCCGCUACCUGCAAAACAAACUUCCCGAGUGGCUCCACCUGUCCACCGACAGGCCCAUAGAAGAGAGAGAGCUCACCACCAGCAGCCAGACAACCACCAGCAGCCAGACAACCACCGCGCCCAAUCACCAUACGUUUCCUAAGAUUCACCGACAAGGAUCAAGUCCUACAGGCGGCGAAAAUCAACACCAUUACAGUGGGAAACGCCAAACUCACUUUACACCAGGACCUGUCAGGUGAAGAAAUACUCCAUUGACCGAGGCAUCUUUAGGGGAUUCAAAUACCCAAACGAGCUCAGGAUUCUUCACCAAGGAGCCUUGCGACACUUCAAAACUCCCGAAGAGGCAAAACUUUUUUGAAAAACAAUCCUGGUCAAUGAGAAAUGGACCACUGACUAAAUGCGAUUACUGUUAUAACUAAAGGAGAUGUUUCAUUCCUCAAAGAAGCCCAGCAGCCGACACUGCUGCAACGUCUUCAUCAAUACUGAUGUGGAUCCGAGAGGGGUGGGUGACUGGCAUCUAGUGAGGAGAUGAGAAAGGUGAGGAGAGGCGAGAAGAAGAGAGGAGAGGAAACGAAAGGAGGAGAGGAGAGGAGAGGAGAGGA